AAAAAAAAAAAAAAAAAAAAAAAAAAAAAAAAGAAA
rnacentral:ribozyme from 15 species